rnacentral:rRNA from 1 species
UUAUACAGCGAAACUGCGAAUGGCUCAUUAUAUAAGUUAUCGUUUAUUUGAUAGUACCUUACUACUUGGAUAACCGUGUUGCUUCGGGAGCUAAUACAUGCUAAAAAUCCCGACUUCGGAAGGGAUGUAUUUAUUAGAUUAAAAACCAAUGCCCUUCGGGGAACACUGGUGAUUCAUAAUAACUUCUCGAAUCGCAUGGCCUUGCGCCGGCGAUGGUUCAUUCAAAUUUCUUCCACUGCGGCUUUCGAUGCUAGAGUAGUGUUCUAGCAUGGUUACAACGGGUAACGGAGGGUUAGGGCUCGACCCCGGGACAGUAGCCUGAGAAACGGCUACUACAUCCAAGGAAGGCAGCAGGCGCGCAAAUUACCCAAUCCCGACUCGGGGAGGUAGUGACCGACAUGUCUUCCCCAGGGCUCUUUUGGGUCUUGUAAUUGGAAUGAGUACAAUUUAAAUCCCUUAACGAGGAACAAUUGGAGGGCAAGGCUGGUGCCAGCAGCCGCGGUAAUUCCAGCUCCAAUAGCGUAUAUUAAAGUUGUUGUGGUUAAAAAGCUCGUAGUAGAACCUUGGGGCUUGCCUCCCGGUCCGCCUCACCGCGUGCACUGGUCCGGCCGGGCCUUUCCCUCUGUGGAACCGCAUGCCCUUCACUGGGUGUGCCGGGGAAACAGGACUUUUACUUUGAAAAAAUUAGAGUGCUCCAGGCAGGCCUAUGCUCGAAUACAUUAGCAUGGAAUAAUAGAAUAGGACGUGUGGUUCUAUUUUGUUGGUUUCUAGGACCGCUGUAUGAUUAAUAGGGACAGUCGGGGGCAUCAGUAUUCAAUUGUCAGAGGUGAAAUUCUUGGAUUUAUUGAAGACUAACUUCUGCGAAAGCAUUUGCCAAGGAUGUUUUCAUUUAUCAGGAACGAAAGUUAGGGGAUCGAAGACGAUCAGAUCGCCUCGUAGUCUUAACCAUAAACUAUGCCGACUAGGGAUCGGACGAUGUUAUUUUUUGACUCGUUCGGCAGCCCCCCGGGAAUCAAAGUGCUUGGGCUCCAAACUUAAGCAUAUCGGUCGCAAACGA